AGAGUUUGAUCCUGGCUCAGAAUCAACGCUGGCGGCGUGCCUAACACAUGCAAGUCGAACGAGAAAGCGGAGCAAUCCGCAAGUAAAGUGGCGCACGGGUGAGUAACACGUGACUAACCUACCCUGGAGUGGGGGAUAACUGAGGGAAACCUUAGCUAAUACCGCAUAACACCUACGGGUCAAAGGAGCAAUUCGCUUUGGGAGGGGGUCGCGGCCGAUUAGUUAGUUGGCGGGGUAAUGGCCCACCAAGACAGUGAUCGGUAUCCGGCCUGAGAGGGCGCACGGACACACUGGAACUGAAACACGGUCCAGACUCCUACGGGAGGCAGCAGUGGGGAAUUUUGCGCAAUGGGGGAAACCCUGACGCAGCAACGCCGCGUGGAGGAUGAAGUACUUCGGUACG
rnacentral:rRNA from 1 species